GGGCCUGUGGUCUAGCGGCUGUGAAAGAGCGUGAUGAGAUAGGGGUGUUAACUCGGUUUAGCAAACGUCGCCUUCACACGGCGGAAGUCCCCGGUUCGAGUCCGGGCAGGCCCA
rnacentral:tRNA from 1 species